GAUGAACGCUGGCGGCGCGCCUAACACAUGCAAGUCGAACGAUUAAAGCACCUUCGGGUGUGUAUAAAGUGGCGAACGGCCGAGUAACACGUGGGCAACCUGCCCCUUUCAUUGGGAUAGCCACGGGAAACCGUGGAUAAUACCGAAUACUUCGAGACUUCCGCAUGGAAGACUCGAGAAAGCUCCGGCGGAGAGGGAUGGGCCCGCGGCCUGUUAGCUUGUUGGUGGGGUAACGGCCUACCAAGGCAAUGAUGGGUAGCUGGGUUGAGAGACCGACCAGCCAGAUUGGGACUGAGACACGGCCCAGACUCCUACGGGAGGCAGCAGUGGGGAAUCUUGCACAAUGGGCGAAAGCCUGAUGCAGCGACGCCGCGUGCGGGAUGAAGGCCUUCGGGUUGUAAACCGCUUUCAGCAGGGACGAGGCGAAAGUGACGGUACCUGCAGAAGAAGCCCCGGCUAACUACGUG
rnacentral:rRNA from 1 species